rnacentral:lncRNA from 1 species
GGAUAUUUCUGCAUAGUAGAUUUCCAAAAAGUAGAACUUCUUUGACUACACCUUUCCCUUUUAACUGGGGCUUUCACAACCAGCUUUUCCAAAUAUAUAUAGGCUUUAUGCUUAGAGGUUAUAUUAUACUCUUAGGGAUUACAGUUUCUUUGAGUUUUGUUCAGUCUGUUAAGAGGGUGGCCAGGGGAAUAUUUAUUGAAUUAAUUAGAAGCUUACUAAAAAUUCUCAAUUGCAUUAAUACCAAGACUAUGGAUCAAGGUGGGGUUCAAAAAUUAUCUUGAAUGAUGAAAAUAUAGUUAUAAAAAUCAACUUACUCAACACACAUAAAUUGAGUCCUAGAGCUUUGCCAAAGAAUUAGCUAUUGAGCUGAAGGUAAGACCGCUAAUAAAUCAGAAUGUCAUUUACAUAUUAACCUACAAAGAACAAAAAUUUCUUCUUCCCCUCGGUCUCAUUCCGUUUCUUUCUAGGUACCUUUCUCUCUCCCUUUUCUCUUUCCUCUUUGUCACUGUCUUUUUCUCUCUCUAUGUAUCUUUGAUCUGUAUGCUAUUAAUUUAUAUUCUAUUAAGUGGCUGUUUCUAAGAGACAUCCUGUGUGGUGAACAUUCAUGUCUGCAAAGGACUGAGCUUGGCAUGGAAUGAUUUAAGUGAACAUACUCACUGGUUUGCUCUGGGGGAAUCUUUUGUCCUUGGGUUUGCUCAGAUCCUCUCUGGGUUCGUCCCAGAGGAUGCACGAGGCUGUUUUCUUCUAAUGUGCCCUUUAGAUCACAUGCUUCUCCCCCAAAGACAGCAUGAAACCAUGCAUCAAAAAUCAAGGGAAGUCUUGGAUGUUAGGGAGGUGAUGUUAGACUUCAAUGAGAUCCUAACAUUUCCUCAGGGGCUGUGACUGACAGCUUUCUACCUUCCGCAGGUAUCAGUACGGUUUGGGGCUUAAAUUUCUAGAUUUAGAUUUUUUUCCCCUCCUUCAUUCCUUCUUUGGAGCUGUCAUUAUUUGUCUUCGUAUCAAGGUAUACAAAAGAGAAAUAAUGUAUUUCGCA